rnacentral:rRNA from 1 species
AACGAACGCUGGCGGCAGGCUUAACACAUGCAAGUCGAGCGCCCCGCAAGGGGAGCGGCAGACGGGUGAGUAACGCGUGGGAAUCUACCCAUCUCUACGGAAUAACGCAUGGAAACGUGUGCUAAUACCGUAUACGUCCUUCGGGAGAAAGAUUUAUCGGAGAUGGAUGAGCCCGCGUUGGAUUAGCUAGUUGGUGGGGUAAAGGCCUACCAAGGCGACGAUCCAUAGCUGGUCUGAGAGGAUGAUCAGCCACACUGGGACUGAGACACGGCCCAGACUCCUACGUGAGGCAGCAGUGGGAAAUAUUGGACAAUGGGCGCAAGCCUGAUCCAGCCAUGCCGCGUGAGUGAUGAAGGCCCUAGGGUUGUAAAGCUCUUUCACCGGUGAAGAUAAUGACGGUAACCGGAGAAGAAGCCCCGGCUAACUUCGUGCCAGCCGCCGCGGUAACAC